rnacentral:rRNA from 1 species
AGCGAACGUUUGCGGCGGGCUUAACACAUGCAAGUCGAACGGGCUGUUCCUUCGGGGGCAGUCAGUGGCGCACGGGUGCGUAACACGUAGGUAAUCAACCCUCUGGUUGGGGAUAACACUUCGAAAGGAGUGCUAAUACCCGGUAUGGCGCAGCGGUCUUCGGAUCGCGGCGAGAAAGACCCGCAAGGGUUGCCAGAGGACGAGCCUGCGGCCCAUCAGCUAGUUGGCGAGGUAACGGCUCACCAAGGCGAAGACGGGUAGCCGGUCUGAGAGGAUGAUCAGCCACACUGGAACUGAGACACGGUCCAGACUCCUACGGGAGGCAGCAGUGGGGAAUAUUGCGCAAUGGGCGAAAGCCUGACGCAGCCACGCCGCGUGAGCGAUGAAGG